rnacentral:tRNA from 14 species
GGCGAGGUAGCUCAGCUGGUUAGAGCACACGACUCAUAAUCGUGGGGUCGGGGGUUCAAGUCCCCCCCUCGCCACCA